UAACGUACUUUCCAUAAACGUUUUUGUCGUUCCUCUAAUUCACGGCAGAAGCAUUUCAAAUCAUGCAUAGCAAGGCAACAAGCUGGCAACACAUGGCAACAAGCUGGUGACAGGAACGUAUUUCAUAACAACGAGAGCAUGGACGGCAUGGAUGAUGACUCAGGGCAGCUCCUCUGUUCCAGCCCCUCACUCUAAAAGAAGCUCACCUUCACAAGAGACAGCGUGCCUGUUCCACUAGUUUUGUCCUCAGCACCAUAAGAGAAAUUAGCCUCCCCCUUCAACUGACUCAGUUCUUAGCUGGAACUCAAGUCAACAAUGCACCUUUACAGAGUAUCCUGGAACUUGCAGGACUGCACCCUGGGGGUUAGUAUUACUGCUGAAAAGUCACCUUUGAACACUUAUUACUCUAUUACUUCUGUAUCUCUGAAUUUUUCCACAUCAAGCAUGACUGCAGACACAAUUUUUAUUUCUUAUUUUUUAAUUGUUUCUUUUUUUUUCCUAAAAAAAUAAUACUGGUCUGUUAUACAUAAUAAAACACCUUAAGUACAAACAUAAACAGGUGUGAACAGUCUUUUUCGUGAUGCUGCUCACCCUUGUGGUCAGCAUAGCUUCUGCAAAGCAUCAUCUAGCAGAGACCUCCUGCUCAGUCAGGUCUACAGGUUCAAAGGCCUUCCCAGGCGUCCUAAUUUAACUGGAGAUGAAAACACAGAGAAUGCCUCCCGUCGCAUAAAUAUGAUGCGGCUCUUGCUGUGCAGAGAGACGAGGUGUCGAGGAACGCCGGAUGUGGACGGGGGAUAAACCGAGGUCAUGAACCCUAGGGGCGGGGAGGCUGCGGAGGCUGCUGGCUUCGUUGGAGGGGCUGGCUGCUGACUUCAGUGGCCUUCGGCUCCUCUUCCUCUUUGUCAUCCUCGUCUUCCUCACUCUGUCCAGCGGUGGCCGCAGUGAGGGGCGGUGCACACGUAAUAGAGGCGCAUGGCGUCCUGUGGUGCAGGCACACGGCAGUUACUUUCGGUACAGAGAAAAAAACGUUUCCCCUUUUCAGCACCUGCUCUCUGAGUGACAGGUGUGAUGCAGUUCCCUCCUAUAUCAUUCACACAAGACUACCAAAAAAAAGGCUACAUGGCAUAAACGAUACAGGUAAUGUGCUGAAAGAUCCAUUUGUGGAUAAAUAAAAUUUGAGCUUCCUGGCAAAGUGAACCAGGUUUUUGGCUAAAAUGCCGAAGUCUUUUCUGACCUGUACAAGCGCCCAAGGACCAGUAGAUGCACUUGCAUCCUCCAUCAGGCAGGUUUACCACCGUUCCAGUGGUUUUAAAUGCCUUGAUUAUUGACCUAAUAACUGGAAGUACUAGCUUUACUUUUUAAUUUGCUUGGAAACAUCUCAUGACCUGUGAAGGUCAACAACCCUUGUCUUGUUUAUUCUGAGUUUGUUCCCUUUUCCCCAUGGUGAUGGACGGCACGUGGACUUUACAUUUUUAUAUCCCAGGGAAACAGGAAGCUGUGCAAGGCCACAAUGUAGUUGCCUAAGAUUGAAAAUAACUGAAAUAAAUGUAGCAUUUUAAUGGAGACUUAUUCUUGUAGGAUUUUAUUUUAAAUAAUUAUUAGGUAUGUGAAAAAAUCACAUUUUCACCUAAUUCCCUUUUUUGAGCACACACUUAUAACCUGUCUAUUUUAUACUGUCGCCUUCUGUCAACUUUCAAUAUUGUAUUUUUUAGACCCUACAUAGAAGAAAACUGCUGAAAUAAUAUAUAAUGAAUAGUAUAAAUAAUUAUAUAGUGCCUAAUCAAUCUCUUCUCUGUUUCCUUCCUGGGGCCAACUGCCCCUUUCCCCGCCCUGAGUUUGCGAAGCCCUCCAGCCUGGUCUCUCUCCUGGUUAAAGCCCACGCCAUGAAGCAACCUGGAGGCAUAGAUGCAUUACCCCACCCCUCUGAGUUACAUAUUACCAUGAACCUCUCUGUCUGGGCUGCCCAUUUUACCAGCUAGUUUAAAUAUCUGAGUAACCUGCCCAACCCAUUUUAUCAUUUGCUCUGAAAGAUAACCUCAUUACAUUUCUGUAAUUAAACAUUCUAUCUUCGCUAUUACACUUGGCCAGCCAGUGGAGGAUGGGCUCUCCAUCUAUAGCCAGGUUCCUCCCAAGAUUUCUUCCCACUGGGAAUUUUUUAUUCUUCUUUCCUUGCCAUCAUUUGAGUGUUUUCCUUCCCACUGGGGAGUUUAUUGCUCACUUUUUGGGGGUUCAGGCCUGUUUUUUUUGCCCAGUUUUCUUUUGUAUUUCCACUGUAAAGCAUCUAUGUGACAGUGUCUCUGUACAAAUAAAAAAAACGCUAUACAAAUAAAAUUGAAUUGAAAUGAA